AGCUCCAGUAGCGUAUAUUAAAGUUGUUGCAGUUAAAAAGCUCGUAGUUGGAUUUCUGGCGUGACGCGCCUGGCCCGCUGCCAUUUGGUAUGUGAGUGCUGGUGCGCGUCUGCCAUCCUUCUAGAAAACGUCUUUUCCCCUUCGUUGGCGGAACUUACGUGAUCUAGAUCUUUUACUUUGAAAAAAUUAGAGUGUUCAAAGCAGGCUUUCGCUGUGAAUACAUUAGCAUGGAAUAAUAAUAUAGGACUUUGUUUCCUAUUUUGUUGGUUCUAGGAAUGAAGUAAUGAUUGAUAGGGAUAGUUGGGGGUGCUCGUAUUCAGCGGCCAGAGGUGAAAUUCUUGGAUUCGCUGAAGACGAACUUAUGCGAAAGCAUUCACCAAGGAUGUCUUCUUUAAUCAAG
rnacentral:rRNA from 1 species